GACGAACGCUGGCGGCGUGCCUAAUACAUGCAAGUAGAACGCUGAAGGAGGAGCUUGCUUCUCUGGAUGAGUUGCGAACGGGUGAGUAACGCGUAGGUAACCUGCCUGGUAGCGGGGGAUAACUAUUGGAAACGAUAGCUAAUACCGCAUAAGAGUAGAUGUUGCAUGACAUUUGCUUAAAAGGUGCAAUUGCAUCACUACCAGAUGGACCUGCGUUGUAUUAGCUAGUUGGUGGGGUAACGGCUCACCAAGGCGACGAUACAUAGCCGACCUGAGAGGGUGAUCGGCCACACUGGGACUGAGACACGGCCCAGACUCCUACGGGAGGCAGCAGUAGGGAAUCUUCGGCAAUGGACGGAAGUCUGACCGAGCAACGCCGCGUGAGUGAAGAAGGUUGUCGGAUCGUAAAGCUCUGUUGUAAGAGAAGAACGAGUGUGAGAGUGGAAAGUUCACAAUGUGACGGUAUCUUACCAGAAAGGGACGGCUAACUACGUG
rnacentral:rRNA from 1 species